GAGGCAUAGCUCAGCUGGUUAGAGCGCACGGUUCACAUCCGUGAGGUCGCGGGUUCAAGUCCCUCUGUCUCC
rnacentral:tRNA from 1 species